rnacentral:tRNA from 1 species
GCCGACUUAGCUCAGCUGUUAGAGCUACUGACUUGUAAUCAGUGGGUCGGGGGUUAGAGUCCCUCAGUCGGCACCA